rnacentral:rRNA from 1 species
UACAGAGGUCCCGAGCGUUGUUCGGAUUCACUGGGCGUAAAGGGUGCGUAGGUGGCAUGUUAAGUUUGAUGUGAAAGCUCAGGGCUUAACCCUGAAAUGGCAUUGAAUACUAGCGUGCUGGAGGUUUGGAGGGGGGACUGGAAUUCUCGGUGUAGCAGUGAAAUGCGUAGAUAUCGGGAGGAACAUCUGUGGCGAGGGCGACACCCUGGACCAGCACUGACACUGAGGCACGAAAGCGUGGGGAGCAAACAGG